GUAUAGGCGAUAGAAAAUUUAAUUUAGCGCUAUAGAAAUAGUACCGUAAGGGAAUGAUGAAAGAUAAACCUAAGUAUAAAAAAGCAAAGAUUCAACCUUAUACCUUUUGCAUAAUGAGCUAACUAGAAAACACCUGACAAAGAGAACUUAAGCCAGAGACCCCGAAAUCAGACGAGCUACCUUAGAACAGCCUACCACAGGGCCAACUCAUCUAUGUGGCAAAAUAGUGAGAAGAUUUUAAGGUAGAGGUGAAAAGCCUAACGAGCCUGAUGAUAGCUGGUU
rnacentral:ncRNA from 1 species